UAUUAAGGAAUAUUUUAAAUGGAGAAAAAUAAGCUUUUAAUCCAUGGCACUUUGAUAAAAGCUUUCUGUGUUUUUGACAUUUUAUUUCAUUUUUGACCUUUUGAGCAGAUGUUUAAAAAGUUUUAAUGCUAGACUAAGCCUAGGCUAGUUUCUGACGUGCCAGCAUCAAUCAAUCAUCCACUCUAGGCCCAACAAGAGCCCUUGUGCUUGAUCAUAUUCCUAAUGCAUGCUGCAUCUCUGCCUCCGUGUAAACUUCUGAACUUCUUGACUCUAAUCUAUUCCAGGCUUUAACAUAGCAGGUUGUCCUCAAUGAAAGGUCCCCAUUCCCAGCUGUCCAGAGUCCUUGUAUCUCUGCCUUCUGCAAUCACAAGGGGAGAUGCAAAGCACCUUCUCUCUCUUAAUUUUGCAAUCUAUGACAACUGCGUUCUCAGCUGAAGGUUCUAUAGUUAGAAUGCUUGUUAUUUACUGACGGUCACUUGAGGAGGUGUUGAAUAUGUGUCCUUGCCUCCAGACGUCCUUCUCUUGUUUUGUCCAUCUCCUUAACUCCACUUUAACAAUGAGGUUGUCUGUGGCUGCAGCAUCAGUGCAUAGGCUCAAGUUUAAGAUCUAUCACCGUUUAAAGAAGUUCCUUGCUGCUUUGGACUCAGCAUUGCUUGAGAAAUAAAUGGGAGAUAAGCAUCAAAACCUGGUACUGUAAAGGAACCUGCAUCAGCAGAUUGUGGCUCCUUUCAUCCAAGCAUCAAACUUUAACAGAUGGCUCCAGUAUCAGCAAAAUUCUGAUUUAAACUGACCUUUGACCCCACAUCACGACUCUUGGCCCGCAGCUUGUUGACCUGGGACUCUGCGAUAUCAGCUCUCUCCUCAGCCUCAUCAAGCUCAUGUUGAAGUUUGCGGAACUUGACUAUGGGCCUCUGAGUGGACUCAACAUGAAUUCUGAUUGUGCUCCAGUGCAGAAAAGAACCAAGACAUCAUAUCAUAAAGAAAGGUCUUGGAGAGGAAUGCUUCUCUACCUGAUGAUUUGCCUUCAGCAAGUUAGGUCCUGCUCUGUGACACAACUGGACCUUCCUUGUGUGGAGCUGAAGAUGUCAUUAAAAAAAAGGAAAAACCCCAACAACUAAAUGUAGUCUCCAUAGAGGAUCCUGUUGGGGAAGCCUUUCCUACAGAUCCUGAUGCCUUCCAGCACACCGUUACAGCGCAGCUGGUGCAUCACCAGAGGGUUCUCCAUGGCCCCAGGAGUCUUGGUCUCGUUGGGGAUGAUGCAGCGCACAAAGUGAGGGUGGGUAGACCUCAGGUGGUUGAAUAUGUGUGGAGGACGGAGUCACAUGAGAUAAAGGUCAGCGUUUGGUGCCAACUCAGAUCAAUCUUCCCUCAGUCCUUUAUUCACCCUAUCAAAGAGUGCCAACAGUUCGCCUGGUGCUGCUGCAGAUACCUGAGAGUUACAUUGCAGACAAAGGGGACUACAUCACAGAAGAUCCCAAAGGUCUUAGGUGGCCAUCACUGUUUCACUCCCCAUCUAGCCCUUUCUGUGAUGAAGAAUGAAGACAAAAAAAAA